UACGUAGGGAGCAAGCGUUGUCCGGAAUCAUUGGGCGUAAAGCGCGCGUAGGUGGCCCCAUAAGUCCGCUGUGAAAGUCAAAGGCUCAACCUUUGAAAGCCGGUGGAUACUGUGGGACUAGAGUACGGAAGAGGCGAGUGGAAUUCCUGGUGUAGCGGUGGAACGCGCAGAUAUCAGGAGGAACACCGAUGGCGAAGGCAGGUCUCUGGGCCACUACUGACGCUGAGAAGCGAAAGCAUGGGGAGCGAACAGG
rnacentral:rRNA from 1 species